UAUAGAACAACGAUUAACAAUUAACAACAAAAAUGUGCCAGGUUUGUGCAUGAUAUGAAAUGAAAUAAUAUUUAAAAGUUACUAGUUACUUAUUACUUAUUACUGGGUGAUAAAAGUAAGUAGUUACUUUACUUGUUACGUUAUUAUAUUACUUUCACUACUUUAGCAACAAGUAAAGCUAGCUGUCCAUCAGGAAACACUCCAAUGUUCAUUACCCAGACUUGAGGCAAUGCAGCCGGAGGCCAUCAGAGAGAAAAACAGAAAUCUUGGGAAGGCUAUGUAAAAUGUUGGCUUCCUGACAUCCAAAGAUUGCGCAGCGUUGACUUGUAGCUUGCUAGCUCAGUGGAAUGACAGCUUGGUGUUGUGUUAAUGAAGUUAAAAUAACAAGAAACGGCACAGUGGACUGUGCUGAGGGCAGGAUCUGACUUGUGACAUCACAGCCUUACAGAAGGCCUGACGGCUUGUUUAAAGGCACAGUUCCUGAAUACAGGCUGUGUACAUUUCUCUGUGGAUCGAUUUUUAUUUCUUUAUGUUUUCACAGCUUUUAUAUAGCGCCUAGACUUGCUAUAUAAUGAAAACAACAUGGAAAUCUCACUUUCUACUAUAUGGGACCUUUAUUUAUGCAUAACAUGCAUUAUGCAUAAUUGCAUAACUCGCUUUUCAAGACAGCCUCAAGUGGCCAUUUUAUAAACUGCCAUUUUUGGCAGUGUUAGCUUCAUUUUUCCACCCUGGAUGGUGUCACUUUGUUUUAAAAGUGCUUUGAAUAAUUUCAGCUGAUUUUAAUUAGAAAAGUACUGAGCAGUGGAUGUCUUAAUGCCAUCAGAGAUCAGUCUUUGCAACCUUUAUGUAAGUAGCUUAAUUUAGCCUUCCUAUGACCCUAAAGUAGCCUCAUUGUGCUCCUCAAAAAUUCAUGAUAGGUGUCCAAAAGAUAAUAUUAAGCACAUGAACACUGGAGGCAGGAUAUCAAGUUGUUGAGAAAGGAACACAGAUGCUGCCAGGGGAUGGAGUUGAAGCAUAUACAUCAUCCACCAGCAUCCUCUGAUCACAUCUACUGCCCCCCAGACCAGCGGAAGCUCCCAGGCCAGAGGAAGUGCCGAGCUCCUUUGUGAACAAGGCCCUCCCGGAUUAAGCGUAACGCACCCUAAAUGCAGGCCCUUUCUCCUGGGGAUUAUCUAAGGGACAGAGGGGCACCCACUCCCACUGGGACCCUGUCACCCAAAUUCAACACACCAUCACCAGACCGCUCCCUAGCCCCCUUGCUACGAUACAGGACAUGAGGGAAGGCAUUGUGCCCCUAGAGACAAUGCUAAAGUGAUUAGCCUGAGUUAUUAAGGGAGCAUAGAAAAUGCAUUUUGACAUGGGGCUUCAAGAUGAUCGCAACUCCUUGGACAUGGUGAAAAUAGUAACAAGCAUCAGGUUGUUGUGUACACAUGUUUAGUCAUUCUGAAGUGUACAGAUGCAGGCGUGUAGCCAAGAGUAAACUAUUUCAGCUCAGUUGAUUUAUUUGCUAAAUAGUUUAAAUCCAUUGCUUUCAUUUUCACUUCACUGUAUGUCCUACAUGUGCGCGCCAUGUACGGUUCUUGAAUGUGUGAAGCUACUGUCAAAGUGAUUUACAGUCCAUAAGGAAAUAAAAGGGACGUUAAAGAGAAAAAAAGGCAUGAACUCUCAUUAAUACAUUUGAUUUAUAUUAGUGGUUGCAUGC